rnacentral:rRNA from 1 species
UACGUAGGUGACCAGCGUUGUCCGGAUUUACUGGGCGUAAAGAGCGCGCAGGCGGUCGUUCAAGUCGAGUGUGAAAGCCCCCGGCUCAACUGGGGAGGGUCACUCGAUACUGAUCGACUUGAAGGCAGGAGAGGGAAGCGGAAUUCCCGGUGUAGUGGUGAAAUGCGUAGAUAUCGGGAGGAACACCUAUAGCGAAGGCAGCUUACUACGCUGUAACUGACGCUGAGGCACGAAAGUGUGGGGAUCAAACAGG